CUCUUGGGAACUCUGAACAGAUUGCACUCCGUUUGGAGGAGUCCAUCGUAACUUCAGAUGGAAGUGUUCAAGGCUGCACACCUCGGGCUGCAGCUGCUCGUGAAGAGGCCAAGACUAUCCAAGAACCAGAGGGAGACCCCUCAAGCUGAGACUGAGCUACAUGCUGAGAAAAUCCUUUCAACCAGUAUUUGGAAGCUACAAAUAAUGGAGGAGUGUCCAGACCUGUAAGGAGAGAGAGAGAGAGCGCAAGACCCAUUCUCCUCCGCUGUACUUGUCUAAUAAGGACAUGGAAACAUCAGAUCUGAGGAUGACAUGGAAAGGCUGCUCAUCCUUGGAGAGCUCAGCAGACAUCAGAGGUAACACACCAUGGAAAGGAGGCAUUGGCCAGAGGUUCAGGGGAUUUCUCUCCAAUGAUUUCUCUCACUGCCAGAGUCCAGGAAAAGGAAUCAGAUUCACCUACAAUCCUGCCUUGAUCACCAGGCUUGUUGGUGAGAUUCCAACCCCAACUUUUCCCAUUUGCAUAUGAAUGAACAAUUGCUAUAUCUUGAACAUUAGUCAAAAGUUCCAAUAAUAUAUUAUAAUAAGAGAUUGAAAAUCUAUAUAUUACAUAUUUUGCAUAAGAAGAUUUCACUUUAUCUAAUUGCAGGUUACGGAAUGUAUACACACUUUGAGGUAUCCUAUUUUUAAGAUAAUGUACACAUUCUUGGGCUAGAAACACACAGGGCCCCAAAUUUGCUACAUUAGAACAAAGCACCCACAUUUAAAGUAGAUAUAAUCUCUUAUUAAGCUUGUAAGGGCCAAUAUGUUUCUUAAACCUUCUUAUCUGAUUUUUUCUCUCAUCAGCAUUUUGGAAGUAAUCAUACACAUAACUUUAGCCACAGGACACUUGUUAUCAAGAUUUAAAGGACUCAGUUGAAAGACCUCCAACAUGGCUUUGAAAUCUUAAUAUUAAAUACAUUUGAGUGCUACACAAGUAAUUAGCCAUAGGUAAUUAAAUAUGGUUCGGUUGGUGACUAGAGCCAUAUUCUAAACUAUUGGAAAGAAUCAAAGCUUCCAGUAAAUACAGGUGGGAUUAUUUUCAUUUCAAAGAGACCAAAGCUGAAGGGGAGACCCCACAGGCAGUCUCUCACCCACUAGUUUGCUCGUGUGACUGUGUAAAAAUAACUUUCUGAGGGUGAAGAUCGAUGGCUUUCCUUAAAGAAGAACAUGGGGACUCAAUAUCUAAUUAACUGAUGUCUCUCUGUUUCUGUAAUUGCAAGCCAUGCUGGAAUCAACAUUCUGAGAGUGUGAAAUAGCUAUUACUGUACACAGCUUCCUUCUACCAUCACACUCUAUUUUUACCUCUGGGAUAUUUCUUUUCCAUGGACCCGGUUCAACCAAAAAUUUAUAUAAGAAUUCUCCAUCAUGUCCAGAAUAUAAAUAUAGCAUCUUUCUCUGGGGUGAAACUAACCCUUUUAAGAGGAAUCUGAAGAUAAGGUUGAGGUUAAUGAGCUGAAUGUUAGAGUCAAGAAGUAUACCCUUCUUUU
rnacentral:lncRNA from 1 species